rnacentral:rRNA from 1 species
UGACGGUACCCCACAACAACCUAGAGGAGCCUGUCCAAUAACCGAUAUCCCACGAUUAACCCAACCCCCCCUAGCCAACAGUCUAUAUACCGCCGUCGCCAGCCUACCCCAUGAGGGAAACAAAGUAAGCUAAAUAGUUAUACACUAACACGACAGGUCGAGGUGUAACUCAUGGGGGGGACAAGAUGGGCUACAUUUUCUACACCAGAAAACACGAAUAAACCAUGAAAAAGAAACUGAAGGUGGAUUUAGCAGUAAACUAGGAACAUAAUACCUAAUUGAAAUAAACGCAAUGGGAGUGCGUACACA